ACGUAGGGGGCAAGCGUUAUCCGGAAUUAUUGGGCGUAAAGAGUGCGUAGGUGGUUUUUUAAGCGUGAGUUUAAAGGCAAUGGCUUAACUAUUGGAAGCAUUGCAAACUGGAAGACUUGAGUGCAGGAGAGGAAAGUGGAAUUCCUAGUGUAGCGGUGAAAUGCGUAGAUAUUAGGAGGAACACCAGUGGCGAAGGCGGCUUUCUGGACUGUAACUGACACUGAGGCGCGAAAGCGUGGGGAGCAAACAG
rnacentral:rRNA from 1 species